AUGUUCGAGUAUCUAAAUGUUGUUAGCAAGAUGUUUGAUAGUGAGGCUGAAGGCUAUGAAUUCUACAACAAAUAUGCUCUUGAAAAAGGUUUUAGUGUGAGGAAAAGCUACGUUGAGUGGGAUGGAUCCAACAAAUACAUAAUUUUAAGGAAAAUUGUGUGUAGUCAUCAAGGGUUUCGCGAAGAGAAGCACAUGAAACGAAAGAUGGAAGAUAGAAAGAGGAGGCCACGAAGUUUAACUCGUGUUGGGUGUAAUGCUAAAUUGGUCAUUAUGAGACAGGAGGAAACCGGUCGGUGGUUUGUCAAGGAUUUCAUCGAUGAGCACAGCCAUCCUCUAGCCCCACGGGAUCUUUCUUGUCUGCUGCGUUCACACAGACGAAUUAGUGAUGAGCAGAAAGCGGACAUUGCGGACAUGGAAAAAUGUGGGAUCCGCAAAUACCGUAUUAUGGAUAUUUUGUGCUUUCAAUACGGUGGAUUUGAUAAGGUUGGAUGCAUAAAGAGGGACAUUUAUAAUUUCUGCCAUGCUAAUAAGCAGGAGACAAUCAGUGCCGGUGAUGCUAAUACGGUGAUCAUGCACAUGAUGGCGAGGCGAGAGCGAGAUGUGGAUUUUUUCUUCAAGUACAUGGUAGACGAGCAUGGCCAUCUGAAGGGACUGUUCUGGGCUGAUAGUCAAUCGCGACUUGACUACGAGGCUUUCGAAGACGUCAUUGUUUUCGAUAGCACAUACAGAACCAACAAAUACAAUCUGCCAUUCGUGCCGUUUGUCGGGUUGAAUCACCACCGCAGCACUGUUAUUUUUGGCUGUGGUAUAAUUUCUCAUGAAACAAGCCAGGCAUACGAGUGGAUGUUGCGGACCUUUUCUAAUUGCAUGGCACAGAAGCAUCCGAUAUCUGUGAUCACAGAUGGGGACCUUGCAAUGCAGAGAGCAAUAAGGGUGGUCUGGCCAGACUCAAACCAUAGACUAUGUAUAUGGGACAUUCAGCAGAACAUUGUAUGCCAUCUGCAUGAUGACGACGUAAAGGAGGAAUUCAGAUCUUUCAUUUAUGAUACUUCUUCCAUUGAAGAGCAUGAGUUAAAAUGGAUACAAUUCUUACAACGGAAUAAAGUAACCAGUGAGGAGUCUUGGCUGCAUCAGAUGUAUCAGAUGAGAAAGUUGUGGUGUGCUCCAUAUCUUGAGGGGCGUUGUUUCCUAGGAUUGAGCAGCAAUCAGAGGAGUGAGAGCUUGAACUCUGUGCUACAUACGCAUCUUGAGGGUAAGAUGUCGUUGUUUGAAAUGGUAGAGCACUAUGAGUGUUGCCUUGCGUUGCGACGGAUUAACGAAGCUCUCCAUGACGUCGAAGCCUUGCAGUCCGUUCCAUUUACAGAGGAAAAUGCUUCGCCGCUUGAGAAACAUGCCGCAACAGUUUUC
rnacentral:rRNA from 1 species